rnacentral:rRNA from 1 species
GAUGAACGCUGGCGGCAUGCCUAACACAUGCAAGUCGAGCGGACGCACAAUAAGCUUUCUUCUCUACUGUUAGCGGCUGACGGAUGAGUGACACGUGCAUAACCUACCUAUAUUACUGGGAUAACUUCGGAAAACCGUAUCUGAUACCAGCUAAUAUUUUGAACCGCAUUGUUCAAAAGUGAAACACGCUCUUCCUGUCACUUAUAGAUGGUUCCGCGCUGCAUUAGCUAGUUGGUAAGGUAACGGCCUACCAAGGCAACGAUGCGUAGCUGACCUGAGAGGAUGAUCAGCCACACUGGAACUGAGACACGGUCCAGACUCCUACGGGAGGCAGCAGUGGGGAAUAUUGGGCAAUGGGCGCAAGCCUGAUCCAGCCAUGCCGCGUGGGUGAUGAAGGCCUUCGGAUUGUAAAGCCCUUUUAUUGGGAAAGAAAAUCAGCAGAUUAAUACCCCGCUAUUCUGACGGUACCCAAAGAAUAAGCACCGGCUAACUUCGUG